GUAUAUCCCAGUACCGUUCGCCUUAUCCGUAACUGGGUAACUUAGUGAAAACUUGGAAAAUAUCUUACGGCCAAGACAAGAGUCCCAAGUGUUACGAUUCCCUUACGUUAUCGAGUGAGCCACAUUUCAUACCUUUGAGAACGAGUUCAAUUUAUUUUUCCAUCUCACGCUCGGACGGCACUGCUUGAUCUUACAGCUGGACAAACCUCAACUGAUUCACGUUGGAGGCUGAAUUUUCAUGGAGUUCACGUAUAAGCCAAUGACCGUAGGGGUAGGUCAGUGCUACUCGAGGGGAUGUAGGCGAGCACCAGUAGGGUGAUAUGUAUUUAUAUCCAAACUGGUACAGGCGUAGAGAGAAGAAAACCCUUGAAGUAGGGUCGAAUAUCAGGCAUGCGCCUAGCCAAUCUGUCGUAGAGCUGCUUCCCGUGAAGACACGUGGAUUUCAGUUAGUCUGGCGCACUUGCCAGGAUUGCAUGCAUCCAGGAGUCCUGUAUGACAGAUCCUUGGGUCGUUGCGACACGCGGCCUUUUACACGAGAACAAUUCGAUUACGAAACGGACUCGAUAAUAGAAAUAGUGACGGAUAAAGAAUGCGAUUAAUGUUUCAUGAUUUUGUAAACAGGAUGACUUUACGAACGAGUCAAUAAAUGGGAUAAAUAAGACAAAUGUUAAAUUUUUUAUUUAUCACUUAAUGCUACUAAUGACACAUGAAUUUUAAAUUUCAUAUGAAUUUUGACAAUCUACGCGACACUAAAUAUGUAAGGCUCGUGAUUAAUGUAACGCAUGUUUUUUUCGAUCGGACUUUUAUCAUACGUGCACGUUGUAUCGAUGUGAGUGAUAAAUCCUUUGUGAACGUGAUAGUAAUUUUUAAUAAAAUAUUUAUGAAGCACACGCGGACAUCGGGGUGGCGACAUAUUUACUGACUUUUAGUGA